rnacentral:rRNA from 1 species
GACGAACGCUGGCGGCGUGCCUAAUACAUGCAAGUAGAACGCUGAAGGAGGAGCUUGCUCUUCUGGAUGAGUUGCGAACGGGUGAGUAACGCGUAGGUAACCUGCCUGGUAGCGGGGGAUAACUAUUGGAAACGAUAGCUAAUACCGCAUAACAGUAGAUGUUGCAUGACAUUUGCUUAAAAGGUGCAAUUGCAUCACUACCAGAUGGACCUGCGUUGUAUUAGCUAGUUGGUGGGGUAACGGCUCACCAAGGCGACGAUACAUAGCCGACCUGAGAGGGUGAUCGGCCACACUGGGACUGAGACACGGCCCAGACUCCUACGGGAGGCAGCAGUAGGGAAUCUUCGGCAAUGGACGGAAGUCUGACCGAGCAACGCCGCGGGAGUGAAGAAGGGUGUCGGAUCGUAAAGCUCGGUUGUAAGAGAAGAACGAGUGUGAGAGUGGAAAGUUCACACUGUGACGGUAUCUUACCAGAAAGGGACGGCUAACUACGUG